rnacentral:rRNA from 1 species
UAACCUGCCCAAGAGAUCGGGAUAACACCUGGAAACAGAUGCUAAUACCGGAUAACAACAGAUGAUGCCUAUCAACUGUUUAAAAGAUGGUUCUGCUAUCACUCUUGGAUGGACCUGCGGUGCAUUAGCUAGUUGGUAGGGUAACGGCCUACCAAGGCGAUAUGCAUAGCCGAGUUGAGAGACUGAUCGGCCACAUUGGGACUGAGACACGGCCCAAACUCCUACGGGAGGCAGCAGGC